ensembl:misc_RNA
CUGCCUUAGACAAAGGAGGCACUCGGAGCCCCACCACACCUCAAACCACGCUUUGAAGGAUCUGCCAAGCUCACUUUUAAUCAUGAGGAAGGAAUUACCCACAUGGAGUCAGCAGAAAAUGAGAAAGUGGAGUUCGUGCUGCGAAUAAUUCCAGCAAGUGCCAAGGGGCUAGUUGAGGAAUGGUUUCAUGAGG